rnacentral:tRNA from 1 species
GGUGGCGUAGCUCAGUUGGAAGAGAGGAUGAGCGAAAACUCAUCAGGGCGGUGGUUCGAGUCCACCCGUCACCA